GUGCAGAGGGCGGGCCUGGCUCUUCUUUGAGGACCACCUUAGGCAUGCUCCCACCCCUUGGCUAAAGAAAAUAAUGCGGACUCCACUCAGUUUUCUUUAGCUGUAUAGUUAUCUGGGAAAACUUCCCCCUUUAGACUUCAGCAGUUAAGCGAAUAUUUGGAAUACCAAAGUGUUUUUUGCAGUUAUUUGUUUUUCUGAUCUCAAUUCUCCCCUGCCUCUAAAAAAAAUUAAUCAGAAUUUGAAGCCAUCUGGUCUCAGGAUUGGAAAGCUAUUCUCUAAGCAGAGCAAAGAUGUUUAUUAAAGUUCAAUUCUUCAUCUUCGUUCUAGGGAGCGUGCCUUUGAUAGCACUUGCUGAAGAAGCAAGCUCAGUUCUAGAAGGAGAAGAAAGUACAACAAUUGAUUUCAGAGACAGGAAUGACACAGAAUUUGAAGAAUUACCAACCCUGUUUGGACAACUGAUGACCACAGAAAGUGCAUUUGCCCCAGCUGAAGACAGUGAUAAUUCUACUGGUUAUGAAGUUAACACAGAAAAUGUUGAUGGUAGAUCAAGUGGGGAACCAGAGAAAACUGAAAAAGGUGGUCUGGAAACAAUUGCUCUGGUUGGAAUAAUUAUUGGAAUCAUAGUUGCAGUUGGAAUCCUUGCAGGAGUAAUCAUUGCUGUUGUAAGGAAGAUGUCAGGCAGGCCCUGAAAAUAGUUGAAACAAGCAACCAUGCCAUUCUACACCAGAAGAUAUAAGUGCUUCUUAUUUUAUAAGAACUAAAGACUAUUCCUAUAUUGGUGUGAGAAGAUGAUCCAUGGAAAAUAUGGUCAAAGAAUUCCAGAUCUAUGGGGAUCCCACACAACUCUAAGGACUCUUCCUCUUCCCCCCUACCCCCCCUCCCCAGAAUACAGUGUAUGGAACAUUUAAUAGGAUUUUUACUAACCAGGAGUUUACUGGAAGAAAGAAGAUUAUGCAGUAAGAAAAAAACCCAGCAGCAAUGAGAUUUACAUCUGAAAUGUGAUUUGCAGGUAAUAUAUGCUAGCUUGAUUUUUAAAUGCUACCAAAGAUUAUUUCACAUUACAUUUUAUACAUUUCUUUAAGAAAAAACAUAUCCAGAAUCUUUUAAGUGUUUUUGGCUGGUUUAGUGCUUGUGGCAUGUUUAUCUGCCAAACAGCGUAUCAAAAAAAGGAGGAAUUAGCUUCAGAGAGAGCCAAAUAUUUACAAAUCUAAGAAAAUAUGAGAUAUCAGAAGCUAAAAUCCUUCCACAGUUGAUACAGAUUUUCUGCUCUUGAUACUUAUGUUAUUAUGUGGCAAAACAUGGUAGGCCCAGCUGGAACUGACCUACCAACUGAAAGCUUGCUCAUCUGACUGUUGCACCAGGAAUUUCCUGUCUUCUCUUGCUGCAGAGACAUGCAGGGAUUAAAAUACACAUCCUGAAUUAAAGGGUGCUUGGAAAAUACCCAAUUUUGAUGGGUCACUUUAACCAGUUACUCAGCACGCUUUAAAGCCAACAUGUAGAAGCUUUUGAAUUAGUUUGGGUUUGUUUUUUUUUUUUUCUGUAUAACUGUCUCAUUUUCUAACUGUAUAGUUGGCUUGUUUGAUAAAUGUGUGCAACACUAGAUCAGAAUACGUUAAUGAGGUACAAUGCAUCUUUGGAGUCUACACCUUUUCUGUAGCAUACUUAGUACAGCAGUACCUGAACACACAGGGUUCAGAGCAAAAGGCUUUGUAUGUCAGGUGGCUGCAAUGCAUCAUGUUUUCUAAACUUUAGAGGCACUUGAGUGUUUGGUGUAAAAAACAUGAUAAUCCAUAUGGUCAAUAAUUGCUAAAUAUGUGAAUUUAUCUAGAUUUGCUUUUCUGUUUCUUUCAUGUGACAAACUAUCAUACCAAUCUGAGCUUUGGAAAUAAAAAAUAUAAUGUAAAUUGUCUUAUUUUACA
rnacentral:lncRNA from 1 species